rnacentral:lncRNA from 1 species
AAAGAAGGCUGCAUGGUGACUCUACGUCACCGAGAGAUGUACCUCGGUAGCUGAAGCAACAUCAUCUUUAAACCAAGCAAAAAAUAAUCAUUUGGAGUUUAUCUGUAAUAGCCAAAUAGCUCAAGUGCGUAUGAUAUUUUCCAUUUAUUGCGCUAAAUUACAAUGUAUUUUAUUUUUGCUAAGUAUCUGUAUUUUUAUAUAAUGCACUUAGUAAACACCCUUUGUUACUUGGCUUUUGUGCGAAGCACAAGUAUUAGCAAUAAAACUUCAAGCAAAGGCUAGAAUUAACAAAA